GUGGUAUCUACGCAGAGUAAAGGGCGGAUCUAGGUAGGCACCAUAGGCAAGUGCCUAUGGUGAAAUUACCAAAAUAUACUUCGACUUAGAUUCGAUACGAAUUUAUCGAAUUAUGAAACUAUGAAUAGCACUUUAUCGCAGUCAAAUCAUCUGACUUUUGUUUAGAAAUGUUGUGCAAUUAAAUGACGUAAUUUUGAUAUGAA